rnacentral:rRNA from 1 species
CGAACGGGUGAGUAACACGUGGGCAACCUGCCCAAAAGAGGGGGAUAACACUUGGAAACAGGUGCUAAUACCGCAUAACCAUAGUUACCGCAUGGUAACUAUGUAAAAGGUGGCUAUGCUACCGCUUUUGGAUGGGCCCGCGGCGCAUUAGCUAGUUGGUGGGGUAAAGGCUUACCAAGGCAAUGAUGCGUAGCCGAACUGAGAGGUUGAUCGGCCGCAUUGGGACUGAGACACGGCCCAAACUCCUACGGAAGGCAGCAG